rnacentral:siRNA from 1 species
UACAUUAGGGUUUUGCUCAAGAAC